UUUAUUAUUAAUAUCUAUUAAUUAAAGGGUGGAAAUGAACAGUAGAUUUUGGGUAAUUCACCUACCUCCUUAUCUUUCUCCUUUCAUCUGCCCGCCACGUUGUAAAAAGGUUAACACCUGUUUUGUGGAUUAAGCUUAUUAUAAGGCAAUGAGAGAGAGGUAUGGAUUGAUGAUGGAGCGGUUAACUGUGAAGACGGAGGAGCACCACCGCUGUUGAAGACCAUCUCAUCUGAUCGGCUAUUCCGACCUCGAUCUUUCCCUCUCCGAUUUUGGUUUUCUCGGCUAAGCGCCUAUUGCGUGGAGGGUCGUCGUUGCCAGCGGCCAUUUAAGGCCGUUUCUGGCCGGCGGCGGUUAUUCCGAGAAAGCCCGUUGUUGCCGGUGGCUAUUUGAGGCUGUUUCUGGCGGCAGCGGAUAUUUCGGGGAGGCCCGUUGUUGUCGGCGGCCGGUUUGAGUCUGUUUCUGGCGGAGUCGGCCUUCAGAUUUCUCGAAGAGUCUAAAUAGUUUCAGAUGUAAAACCCUAGGCCUGUAUGAAUUUCUGGUGGGUGGAGUUUGAUUAUUAGGUUUGUUAUGAAAUAUGAAAUCUGGUGAUCAAAAAGUUCUAAAGGUGGAAUCUUUGCAUGUUAUGAACACUGGAAGAUCAAGAACAAGAACAUGAAAAAAGGUUGAGAGGUUUCGGUUUUUCUCCUACCCGACGAUGAUGGUGGCUUGCUACUUGGUAUGGCAACUCCGGUUGCAACCGUAGCACCACCGGCGGGUUUAACGACGAUGAUGAUCUUUUCAGAUAUGAGUCGAUUGGUGUUGAUGAUUUCGUUUUUUGUAUGUUUUUUUCCUGAGAUUGCUGAAAUAAGGAGUCAUUUGUUGACAUGGAAGGAGUUGUUAUGGUUUCUCUUGAGGCUAUUAAAGGCGCCCCAGCAGGUAAAUUCCAUUUGAGCUUGAUGUUUGAUAUGAAUGUUAUGGUUUUUGUUUUGUAGGUACUCUGUGUGGUGAUUUUGUUGUUUUGAAUUAAGGUUUGUAGAUUAGCUCGACAGUUUGCAAAGUCUGAGAUUAUCAUGGCUUUUUUGUUGAUUUUGUAGAUGUUGUAGAUGCUAAUUUGAUGUCUAUCUUGGACAUGAUUACUGGGAUACAAUUGAAUUAUGAGAUUAUUCAUGUUUUGUCAUCAGAUUACCUGAACGUUUGUCUUAUACAUAUAUAGGUUGUGGAACGCCUUUUAUAUUAGCCAUAGAACUACGGCUUCUGCCAUGUGACAUGUAUGACGAAAGUUGAAAUUAAAUCAUUAAACCUUUGUGCAUGUUUGAAUACUGGUAUAACAUCUGGAAUAUUCAGGUAAACAUUUUUAAAAACUAUUUACUUGCAACAAUCUUUUUGCAGUUACUCCUAAAUCAAGAACUUGUCUGGCAUUGGAUAGAAGGAAGGAAUUAAUGCUGGAUUAGUUGAUCUCACAACAUUGCAAAACUUGUUAAAUUCAAGUAGUGACGAAGAUUCACCAUGAGGCUGCAACUGUGCUUCCUAUAUAUGUUGAGGAUCCUGCCAGAAGUGAAGUUGAAAUUGAGAUGGCUUUGGAGGCCGGAGAACAACGUCCUCGGGUGAUGAUAGUGGCUUGCUACAUGACAAGGCAAUUCCGUGUGUUGCCGUAGCGGCACCGAGCCAAAGCCUUCUUUGUUUUGUGACAACAAUGAUGAUACUUUUAGAUCCGAGUCGAAUUGGUUUUGUUGUUUUCAUUUUUCCUUUUUUUUAUUAGGUUGAUGUACAAGUUGUAUUGAUGGUGAUAAUGUAACUGUUUGAUGAUCUUCGUGGCCGUAGUUGCCUUCGUAUUGACGGCGCAACAGUUGUUGCUGUGAUGAUUUGAUAUUAA